AUUGAACGCUGGCGGCAGGCCUAACACAUGCAAGUCGAGCGGUAGCACAGAGAGCUUGCUCUCGGGUGACGAGCGGCGGACGGGUGAGUAAUGUCUGGGAAACUGCCUGAUGGAGGGGGAUAACUACUGGAAACGGUAGCUAAUACCGCAUAAUGUCGCAAGACCAAAGUGGGGGACCUUCGGGCCUCAUGCCAUCAGAUGUGCCCAGAUGGGAUUAGCUAGUAGGUGGGGUAAUGGCUCACCUAGGCGACGAUCCCUAGCUGGUCUGAGAGGAUGACCAGCCACACUGGAACUGAGACACGGUCCAGACUCCUACGGGAGGCAGCAGUGGGGAAUAUUGCACAAUGGGCGCAAGCCUGAUGCAGCCAUGCCGCGUGUGUGAAGAAGGCCUUCGGGUCGUAAAGCACUUUCAGCGGGGAGGAAGGCGGUGAGGUUAAUAACCUCAUCGAUUGACGUUACCCGCAGAAGAAGCACCGGCUAACUCCGUGCCAGCCGCCGCGGUAA
rnacentral:rRNA from 1 species